UUACAGGAAACGCACCUUAAAGAUCACGCUCAGACCAGGCUGAAGGCUAACUGGAUUGGUCAAAUAUAUCAUUCCUCUUAUCUCUCCAAAUCCAGAGGCACUGCAAUUAUGAUCCGUAAGGGCAUACCAUUUAAACAUAAAAACACCAUAGCAGACAAAGAUGGUAGACUCCACCCAGCAAAACCUAAUAAUUGGGGAAGAUUUCAAUUGUGUUCUGGAUCAAUACUUGGAUAAAUCCUCACAACAAAAGAGAUAUAAUACAAAAUCAAAAUCCAAUGAACUUUUAAAUACGUAUAUAAGAAAUACAAAUAUAACAGACGUAUGGAGGAUUGCAAACCCAUCCGGAAGAGAAUA